rnacentral:rRNA from 1 species
GCAGCAGCCGCGGUAAUACGGAGGGUGCAAGCGUUGUCCGGAUUUAUUGGGUUUAAAGGGUGCGUAGGCGGCCUUAUAAGUCAGUGGUGAAAGCCCAUCGCUCAACGAUGGAACUGCCAUUGAUACUGUAAGGCUUGAGUACAGACGAGGUAGGCGGAAUUGAUGGUGUAGCGGUGAAAUGCAUAGAUACCAUCAAGAACACCGAUUGCGUAGGCAGCUUACUAGGCUGUAACUGACGCUGAGGCACGAAAGCGUGGGGAGCGAACAGGAUUAGAUACCCUGGUAGUCCACGCUGUAAACGAUGAUUACUCGAUGUUGGCGAUACACAGUCAGCGUCUUAGCGAAAGCGUUAAGUAAUCCACCUGGGGAGUACGCCCGCAAGGGUGAAACUCAAAGGAAUUGACGGGGGCCCGCACA